GACGAACGCUGGCGGCGUGCCUAACACAUGCAAGUCGAACGGGGUGAUUUCCUUCGGGAGAUCACUUAGUGGCGAACGGGUGAGUAACGCGUGAGAAACCUGCCUUUCAGUGGGGGACAACAGUUGGAAACGACUGCUAAUACCGCAUGAUGUAGCGAGGGGGCAUCCUCUUGCUACCAAAGCUUAAUGUGCUGAAAGAUGGUCUCGCGUCUGAUUAGCUAGUUGGUGAGGUAACGGCCCACCAAGGCGACGAUCAGUAGCCGGUCUGAGAGGAUGAACGGCCACAUUGGGACUGAGAUACGGCCCAGACUCCUACGGGAGGCAGCAGUGGGGAAUAUUGGGCAAUGGGCGCAAGCCUGACCCAGCAAUGCCGCGUGAAGGAAGAAGGCUUUCGGGUUGUAAACUCUUUGUCAGGGACGAGUAGAAGACGGUACCUGACGAAUAAGCCACGGCUAACUAACGUG
rnacentral:rRNA from 1 species